GAUGAACGCUGGCGGCGUGCCUAAUACAUGCAAGUCGAGCGAACAGACGAGGAGCUUGCUCCUCUGACGUUAGCGGCGGACGGGUGAGUAACACGUGGAUAACCUACCUAUAAGACUGGGAUAACUUCGGGAAACCGGAGCUAAUACCGGAGAAUAUAUUGAACCGCAUGGUUCAAUAGUGAAAGACGGUUUUGCUGUCACUUAUAGAUGGAUCCGCGCCGCAUUAGCUAGUUGGUAGGGUAACGGCUUACCAAGGCGACGAUGCGUAGCCGACCUGAGAGGGGGAUCGGCCACACUGGAACUGAGACACGGUCCAGACUCCUACGGGAGGCAGCAGUAGGGAAUCUUCCGCAAUGGGCGAAAGCCUGACGGAGCAACGCCGCGUGAGUGAUGAAGGUCUUCGGAUCGUAAAGCUCUGUUAUUAGGGAAGAACAAAUGUGUAAGUAACUAUGCACGUCUUGACGGUACCUAAUCAGAAAGCCACGGCUAACUACGUG
rnacentral:rRNA from 1 species